CCUACGGGAGGCAGCAGUAGGGAAUCUUUCACAAUGGGCGAAAGCCUGAUGGAGCAACGCCGCGUGCAUGAUGAAGGCCUUCGGGUUGUAAACUGCUUUUAUAAGCGAGAAAUAUGAUGGUAACUUAUGAAUAAGGAUCGGCUAACUACGUGCCAGAAGCCGCGGUCAUACGUAGGAUCCGAGCAUUAUCCGGAGUGACUGGGUGUAAAGAGUUGCGCAGGUGGCAAAAUAAGUAGCUAGUGAAAUCUGGUGGCUCAACCAUUCAGACUAUUAGCUAAACUGUUAAGCUCGAGACCGUGAGGGGUAACUGGAAUUUCUAGUGUAGGAGUGAAAUCCGUAGAUAUUAGAAGGAACACCGAUAGCGUAGGCAGGUUGCUGGGACGGUUCUGACACUAAGGCACGAAAGCGUAGGGAGCAAACGGGAUUAGAUAUCCCAGUAGUC
rnacentral:rRNA from 1 species